rnacentral:rRNA from 1 species
UACGUAGGGGGCAAGCGUUGUCCGGAUUUAUUGGGCGUAAAGAGCGUGUAGGCGGCCAGACAGGUCCGUUGUGAAAACUAGAGGCUUAACCUCUAGACGUCGAUGGAAACCGUCUGGCUAGAGUCCGGAAGAGGAGAAUGGAAUUCUUGGUGUAGCGGUGAAAUGCGUAGAUAUCAAGAGGAACACCUGAGGUGAAGACGGGUUGCUGGGCCGACACUGACGCUGAGUGCGCGAAAGCCAGGGGAGCAAACGGG